rnacentral:rRNA from 1 species
AAUCAACGCUGGCGGCGUGCCUCAGACAUGCAAGUCGAACGAUUAAAGCUCUCUUCGGAGAGUGCAUAGAGUGGCGCACGGGUGAGUAACACGUAAGUAAUCUACCUUUGAGUGGGGAAUAACGUCCGGAAACGGACGCUAAUACCGCAUAAUGCAGCGGCAUCGCAAGAUGACAGUUGUUAAAGAUUUAUCGCUUGAAGAGGAGCUUGCGGCAGAUUAGCUAGUUGGUAAGGUAAUGGCUUACCAAGGCUACGAUCUGUAACCGGUCUAAGAGGACGGUCGGUCACACUGACACUGAACAACGGGUCAGACUCCUACGGGAGGCAGCAGUCGGGAAUUUUGGGCAAUGGGCGAAAGCCUGACCCAGCAACGCCGCGUGAAGGAUGAAGUAUUUCGGUAUGUAAACUUCGAAAGAAUGGGAAGAAUAAAUGACGGUACCAUUUAUAAGGUCCGGCUAACUACGUGCCAGCAGCCGCGGUAAGUCUCGCGUGA